ACACGACAACGGCAAACCCGUCGCGAGGCGGGGACGCAAAGCCGAGGGACCCCCGUGGUCAGCCUGGCUACCGAA
rnacentral:ncRNA from 1 species